GAGUAUAGUAGCAAAUUGAGAUUUUGUUAGCGAAAGCGAUAAGAGCGAGCGUCUAAGAUUUGUAGAGUGAGACAUAAGCGAUCCUAGAGAAAGAGAAAUUGGAGUGUGUGUUCGAGUGUAGCGGAAUUGGUUCACCCUUAACGGCUGUAUUUUCUUAUUUUACUCCGUGUAACAAAAAAUCACGCAGAUUGAUCCCAGAGCAACCCAAACCUGGUAUGAGAGCGAACGAAAUGGAGGAAUGAGAGAGAGAUAUAGUGACAUCCGUACGUUCAAUCAAGGCGGGGGGGGAGGGGGGUGUUGUAACGUAAUGACACGAUCCCCCCCCCCGUUACAUCGCUUGGCUUUCACUCUAUUACCACGCCUGUACCCGCAUCACGCCUUUCCCAAGCACCAGUAUCGGGCCGAUAAGGGCCAGAGUGAAAAUCGAGAGUGAAGAAGAGCUGCAGAGACCGGCGAAGACAGGUUAUUGUUAAUAAUGAGCCUUGUGGGGUUUGGAACCCGCUCUGCUGUUCCGAAGCUUCCGCUUAUACCGGUGGUGUUAAAGGGCGCUUUUGCGCUACUAUCAAUCCACUUCCAGCGUCACCUCCGUAUCAAGGGGUGACGGGCCGGAGCAAUUCCACUUAUGGCAAGCCAAUCAUCGUACGGGUACGGAAGACCCAACAUCAGACUCUUCGUCGGCGUGUACAGAGUUUUGCUCUAGGACGCAUUUACUUUAUCAAGCUAACCUGAAUGGUUUCCAGCCACAGCCACCAGGCGCUUAACGUCCACAGCCAGAGCCCCGUUUGCCACCGGUAAACAGGUGCCCGGACCACACCGCGAAAAGGAGGGGUUGGCGCAUGUCACCGCUGGAGCUGGCUGCAAGGCCCCGAACGGCAUCUUUGUAGUCCGACCGGCGAAGACAGCUUAUUGUCAAUGAGGAGCCUUGUGGUGUUAAUAAACACGCUCUGCCGUUCCGAAGCUUUCGCUUAUACCGGCGAUGUUAAAUGGCGCAUAACGCUUGAGUUAUCUACCACCCAACUCAACCUCCCGCCGUGGAGACGGGCCGGAGCAAUUACGCUCACGGCGAACCGAUCAUCGCACGGGGGAGAAGAUCCAACAGCAGACUCUUUGUCGGCGUGUAAGGAGUUUUAUUCUAGGACGCUUUUACUUUAACAAGCUUACCUACGUGGUCCCAGCUCAACCCACGAGGCGCUUCACGUCCACAGCCAGAGCCCCGUUUGCCACGGGUAAACCGGUGCUCCGGCCACACCACGGGGAGGAGGGGUUGGCACAUGUCAUCGCUGGGGCUGGCUGUAAGGCCCCGAACGACAUCUUUGUGGCCCGACCGGCGAUGACACCGGAGUGCCACUGGGAGGACGUCCCGUGACCAGCGGAGUCCGGCCAAAAGAAGUUCUCAAACGCCCCAGUGGAGCUAUCUGUUCGCCAAGCCCGCAGACUCUCACCCAGUAGACAACACCAAUAAGCCUUUACCAGCCCUAUCGAUCCCGAUCACCGGUCAAUCCCCAUUCAAUAUUGAUCCCUCGCCCAAUUAGCCCCUGACCCGACCAGAAGACCCAAUCCCCGACCUGUAUCCCCUCCCCAAAAUUCCCUGCCACAGGCUCGCCGUCGCUGCAACAGAUUUUGUUUCAAUUAGAUUUUGUUAGCGGGCGAAUAUAGAGUAUUGCAAUUUUGGGAGCGAAUAUAGAGUAUUGAGAAUAGAGUAUCGAGAGUGCGAGAGUGAGUGUAAGAGCAUAUCCUGCGAUACUGGUAAGCUCUUAACAUUAUUAAUUAUAACUCUGAGUUCAGUAACGGCCAUUUCUCGCGUAUCAUUUCUUGUAAAUCGCGAUAACGCCCUACCUCUUUCUCGAUCCCUAAAGACCAUCUGCCCCAAGAUUUCCAUCCGUAGCAUUCCCAACCUUUGCGGACUCCCCUGCGUAACCUGAAUCUGCCCACCUGGCUAGCAGUGCAGCUAGUGACGCGUGUUUACGGUCACUUUGUCCCCGAUUGCGGGACCCUUCUUGUGAUCAGGAAGUAUUGUUGCAAGGUCCACGGCGAUCUGCUGUGACGGCGGCGAGGCGCCAUUCGAUUGCGAUUUAGGGUAAUAGCCGAUGUACACGGUGCGAGAAAUCUCGUACGAGAAGCCCUCGAAUGCUACUCGCAUGCGAGCUCGUAUCGUGUACACGUUUUACGCGCGUGCACGCAUAUUAGCACGCACGAGCUCGAAUCGGUUUCCAACAUGUUGGAAAUUUGGCGAGUUCUCGUUCGUGACUCGCGCGAAAAUGAAUUCGGAAAGAACGACAGGCCAGGCAGGCCAUGUGCAUUCUGUCAUUUUAACCCUUUGAUUACUGCUUUUUUUUAUCUAUUUCAUUCUUCUUCCCUCGAUCCUAAUGAAACUCGUAAAUAUACCCGGACAUGUCUGAACUAUACCACAAUUUAUAGUCUCUUUUUAUUGGCUGGAGUGGACUUUAAAGCCCCAAUGGGUCUCAAAGCGUUUAAAUUAAUACAGUACCAUGAGAAAACUGACGAAACUUAUAAGUCCCGUCAGUUAAUAAACGGUUAAACCUUGAGCUCGAAUCAAACGCGUUGGUACAUUCGAUUUAUAUCUCGAAUCGUGUCAACACCUUCACGCAUGCAAGUUUCGAGAUGCGAGCCUCGAACGCUUUUCACGAACGAGAUUUCUCGCACCGUGUACAUCGGCUAUAAGAGAGCUCUCAUUGCGUCCGUUAUUUCAAGUUUUGAAUGAUCAUUCAAUUGCGUUUUAUUUGUAUCUCUAGUUUGCGUAAGUUUCUACGUUUAAAUAUUUGUUGCCUUUUUUCAAUUCCAGGCAUUCAUUUAAUCUAAUUUUCUUUUAUUGGGACCAGGCUUUUUCUCUACUUUCGACUGGAGUUUUGUACAGCCGGUACCCGUAGAGUAGAGUAAUUUAUUUUCCGAUAUAAUAAAUUCAUUUUUCUUUUGCUUUUUCAUCUCAA